rnacentral:rRNA from 1 species
CGGAGGGUGCAAGCGUUAUCCGGAUUCACUGGGUUUAAAGGGUGCGUAGGCGGAUUUUUAAGUCCGUGGUGAAAUCUCCGAGCUUAACUCGGAAACUGCCAUGGAUACUAUGAGUCUUGAAUGUUGUGGAGGUUUGCGGAAUAUGUCAUGUAGCGGUGAAAUGCUUAGAUAUGACAUAGAACACCGAUCGCGAAGGCAGCAGGCUACACAAAUAUUGACGCUGAGGCACGAAAGCGUGGGGAUCAAACAGGAUUAGAUACCCUGGUAGUCCACGCCCUAACCGAUGAUUACUCGACAUUUGCGAUACACAGCAAGUGUCUGAGCGAAAGCAUUAAGUAAUCCACCUGGGAAGUACGACCGCAAGGUUG